rnacentral:misc_RNA from 1 species
AAGGAUCAUUGCCACACACGAUCCAAGAUCGACACUUUUGUGAACUGUAAACUUUUAUUGAUACUUCCUGCCUUUUUUUUGGUAUUUUUUGUAGUCUUUCUGUAAUGGUUAGAUGAAGAAAGAGAAGAGAAAGGGGAUAGGUCGUGUCAGUAAAUCAACCAACACCAAACCAAAAACAACACUGAUCUAUACAAUGGAACAUAAAUGUUAUAGAGAGUUCGUCUCCUUAUAACGCUAGAUUAUAAUUGUAAAACAACUUUUAACAAUGGAUAUCUAGGUUCUU